GCUCUGAUCGAUUAACGGUUAAAUCAUUCGCUUCACAAGCGCGCUUCCGCGAGGGCUCCAGGUUCGAUUCCUGGUCAGAGCA